GGGACCAAUGUGAGUCAGUCUCUGCCCAGUGGUCUGACGAUUAUCGUCUCUUAGGUUUUUCCUGGCUUAUAAAGGAGGCAGAGGACCGACACAGGUUCACGGGGCUGCUUGCUGAUCCAUGAUUCUUUCCCGUGUGUGACUAAUCUUGAUUUGUGUUUUGUUUUAAUUGUUAUGGAUCUAGCACUUCCGAACCAGGAUUACCUCAGGAAGGGUGAGCUGGAAUACGAGAUCACCAUACGGAAGAGACUGCACCAACAACAGCUGAAGGUCCCCGGCCUCAGGAAAUAUUUACGUGAAUUACCAGGCAGCGAGAUUCACAUCUUGGCCAUGGAUUCCAUCGAACCACUGGGCCUACUGAUAGACUCGGAUGUAAUCAAUUUUCAUGGCCGCGUCUUCUUCGUGCCAUGUUGGUAGCCAUUCGCUGCGACGUUCCCAGAAAUCUUUCAUAGGAUGGCCGUCCCAGCUCCACGGUCGAUUACCAGUCCCUUCGGGGAAGAAAGUACCCCCAACGGCUACGUUCAAGAUGAUUUGGAACUGUAAUACAAGUCAAUGGACACCCAAAUAUGUUUAAAAUAUUAAGGUUGCCUUAUUAUCCAUAGUUACAAUCUUAAAAACGAUGUAGAACCUAUUAUAAUUUUUGGUAAUGGUAUUAAGAGAUAGUAUUAAUGAAAGGAUUACUCUGGAACGAUAAGUUUGCUAUUAUAUUAAUUUAUCAGCGGAUAGGCCUAUGCCAGUUAUUCGCCAUGGGUUCUCUUGAACCAGAUUUAACUGAAAUAAAUAAAUUGCUUAUUUAGU